rnacentral:rRNA from 1 species
AGCGCUUGCCUAUACAUGCAAGUCGAACGAACUCUGGUAUUGAUUGGUGCUUGCAUCAUGAUUUACAUUUGAGUGAGUGGCGAACUGGUGAGUAACACGUGGGAAACCUGCCCAGAAGCGGGGGAUAACACCUGGAAACAGAUGCUAAUACCGCAUAACAACUUGGACCGCAUGGUCCGAGUUUGAAAGAUGGCUUCGGCUAUCACUUUUGGAUGGUCCCGCGGCGUAUUAGCUAGAUGGUGGGGUAACGGCUCACCAUGGCAAUGAUACGUAGCCGACCUGAGAGGGUAAUCGGCCACAUUGGGACUGAGACACGGCCCAAACUCCUACGGGAGGCAGCAGUAGGGAAUCUUCCACAAUGGACGAAAGUCUGAUGGAGCAACGCCGCGUGAGUGAAGAAGGGUUUCGGCUCGUAAAACUCUGUUGUUAAAGAAGAACAUAUCUGAGAGUAACUGUUCAGGUAUUGACGGUAUUUAACCAGAAAGCCACGGCUAACUACGUGCCAGCAGCCGCGGUAAUACGUAGGUGGCAAGCGUUGUCCGGAUUUAUUGGGCGUAAAGCGAGCGCAGGCGGUUUUUUAAGUCUGAUGUGAAAGCCUUCGGCUCAACCGAAGAAGUGCAUCGGAAACUGGGAAACUUGAGUGCAGAAGAGGACAGUGGAACUCCAUGUGUAGCGGUGAAAUGCGUAGAUAUAUGGAAGAACACCAGUGGCGAAGGCGGCUGUCUGGUCUGUAACUGACGCUGAGGCUCGAAAGUAUGGGUAGCAAACAGGAUUAGAUACCCUGGUAGUCCAUACCGUAAACGAUGAAUGCUAAGUGUUGGAGGGUUUCCGCCCUUCAGUGCUGCAGCUAACGCAUUAAGCAUUCCGCCUGGGGAGUACGGCCGCAAGGCUGAAACUCAAAGGAAUUGACGGGGGCCCGCACAAGCGGUGGAGCAUGUGGUUUAAUUCGAAGCUACGCGAAGAACCUUACCAGGUCUUGACAUACUAUGCAAAUCUAAGAGAUUAGACGUUCCCUUCGGGGACAUGGAUACAGGUGGUGCAUGGUUGUCGUCAGCUCGUGUCGUGAGAUGUUGGGUUAAGUCCCGCAACGAGCGCAACCCUUAUUAUCAGUUGCCAGCAUUAAGUUGGGCACUCUGGUGAGACUGCCGGUGACAAACCGGAGGAAGGUGGGGAUGACGUCAAAUCAUCAUGCCCCUUAUGACCUGGGCUACACACGUGCUACAAUGGAUGGUACAACGAGUUGCGAACUCGCGAGAGUAAGCUAAUCUCUUAAAGCCAUUCUCAGUUCGGAUUGUAGGCUGCAACUCGCCUACAUGAAGUCGGAAUCGCUAGUAAUCGCGGAUUCAGCAGCCUC